UACGGAGGAUGCGAGCGUUAUCCGGAUUUAUUGGGUUUAAAGGGUGCGUAGGCGGGAUGCCAAGUCAGCGGUAAAAAUGCGGUGCUCAACGCCGUCGAGCCGUUGAAACUGGCGUUCUUGAGUGGGCGAGAAGUAUGCGGAAUGCGUGGUGUAGCGGUGAAAUGCAUAGGUAUCACGCAGAACUCCGAUUGCGAAGGCAGCAUACCGGCGCCCUACUGACGCUGAGGCACGAAAGCGUGGGUAUCGAACAGG
rnacentral:rRNA from 1 species